GGCGGACGGGUUUAGUUAACGCGUGGGAACGUACCCUUUUCUACGGAAUAGCCUCGGGAAACUGAGAGUAAUACCGUAUACGCCCUUCGGGGGAAAGAUUUAUCGGAGAAGGAUCGGCCCGCGUAAGAUUAGAUAGUUGGUGGGGUAAUGGCCUACCAAGUCUACGAUCUUUAGCUGGUUUGAGAGGAUGAUCAGCAACACUGGGACUGAGACACGGCCCAGACUCCUACGGGAGGCAGCAGUGGGGAAUCUUAGACAAUGGGGGAAACCCUGAUCUAGCCAUGCCGCGUGAGUGACGAAGGCCUUAGGGUCGUAAAGCUCUUUCGCUGGGGAAGAUAAUGACUGUACCCAGUAAAGAAACCCCGGCUAACUCCGUGCCAGCAGCCGCGGUAAUACGGAGGGGGUUAGCGUUGUUCGGAAUUACUGGGCGUAAAGCGCGC
rnacentral:rRNA from 1 species